rnacentral:rRNA from 1 species
CGGACCCAAGGAAGUUUAACAUGUGCCCGAGCCAAUGAGUAGUGCUUUGCAAACGAAACUCAAAGGCGCAGUGAAAGUAAAAGGUGAGCAAUCGCCUGAGGUGAGAUCCUGCUAUUUCUCUUGUGCUUUGAUCAGACAUUAGAGUGGUAGGCGCAUCACCGGCCCGUCCCAUGGUGUAGUUAGGCUUGCCUGGCGGCACCGGGGCGGAGCAAGAGCGUACAUGUUGAGACCCGAAAGAUGGUGAACUAUGCUUGCGCAGGUUGAAGCCGGAGGAAACUCUGGUGGAGGACCGUAGCGAUUCUGACGUGCAAAUCGAUCGUAUGAUGUGAGUAUAGGGGCGAAAGACUAAUCGAACCAUCUAGUAGCUGGUUCCCUCCGAAGUUUCCCUCAGGAUAGCUGGUGCUCGUAAUGUUUAAACAGUUUUAUCCGGUAAAGCGAAUGAUUAGAGGUCUUGGUGCCUAAAUGGUGUCAACCUAUUCUCAAACUUUAAAUGGGUGAGAAGCUGGGCUCGCUUAAUUGGAGUCUGGCCGUCGAAUGUGAGUGCCAAGUGGGCCAUUUUUGGUAAGCAGAACUGGCGCUGUGGAUGAACCAAACGCCUGGUUAAGGUGCCUAACACGACGCUCAUGAGAUACCACACAAGGUGUUGGUUGAUAUAGACAGCAGGACGGUGGCCCUGGUAGUCGGAAUCCGCUAAGGAGUGUGUAACAACUCACCUGCCGAAUCAACCAGCCCUGAAAAUGUAUGGCGCUGGAGCGUCGGACCUAUACCGGGCCGGCUGUGCAAGCCGAGCUCAAAAUGUGUUGCUUGAGAGUUAUACGGCAUGGCUCGGGCACGAACGUGCAGCCGAGUAGGAGGGUCUCCGUGGUGAGCUGAGAAACUUCGGGCGUGAGUCCAGGUGGAGCCGCCACGGGUGCAGAUGCUUGGUGGUAGUAGCAAUU